rnacentral:rRNA from 1 species
GUGCCAGACUCCUACGGGAGGCAGCAGUGAGGAAUAUUGGUCAAUGGGCUUACGCCUGAACCAGCCAAGUCGCGUGAGGGAAGACUGCCCUAUGGGUUGUAAACCUCUUUUGUCAGGGAGCAAUUGGCGCUACGUGUAGCGUUAUCGAGAAUACCUGAAGAAAAAGCAUCGGCUAACUCCGUGCCAGCAGCCGCGGUAAUACGUAGGGAGCGAGCGUUAUCCGGAUUUAUUGGGUGUAAAGGGUGCGUAGACGGGAAGUUAAGUUAGUUGUGAAAUCCCAAGGCUCAACUUUGGAACUGCAACUAAAACUAAUUUUCUUGAGUACUGGAGAGGAAAGUGGAAUUCCUAGUGUAGCGGUGAAAUGCGUAGAUAUUAGGAGGAACACCAGUGGCGAAGGCGACUUUCUGGACAGAAACUGACGUUGAGGCACGAAAGUGUGGGGAGCAAACAGGAUUAGAUACCCCCGUAU